AAAACCAAAAGUACUAAAAAACUCCUUUGUUAUUGUUCUCUCUAGCUCUCUCUGUUUUUUUAAAGCAAAAUGAGGGUUUGAAAAGGGGAAAAAAGGCUGUGCAGAAAGGAAAUUAGCUUUGGUAGAUUGGGCAAGAAAAUUUUUCUGAGAAAUGGGCACAAACUUUGUUAGUAUGAGGGUUUUGUUAACCACAGCAUCUGCAUCUGCAUCUGCAUCCACUACCUCUCUUUUUUAUUCUUCCUCCUUUGAUUUUCCCCCCAAAUCCCUUAAAAUAGGAAAUCCAAUUCUCAACCAUACACGUCCUGCUGCUGGAAAAAGGAGGAACCCAUCUCUCUACACGUGGCUUUGUGGACAUAUGAGAAGAGAUCAAGACGUAGAUUAUUUCAAAGUGGAAGAUGAGAAUAUGGUGUCCAUGUUUGGCCCUGAUGAAGAUACUGGCACCAAAAUUCCAACGCAAGCACAAUCUAUUGUGGAAGGUUCAAACACAGUUGUGGUGUCAGAAUAUAAGCCUGUUCCUGAUGUAGACUAUCUACAGGAGUUAUUGGCCAUUCAACAACAAGGGCCUAGAAACAUUGGCUUUUUUGGAACACGGAAUAUGGGAUUCCUACAUCAAGAACUCAUUGAGAUCCUUAGUUAUGCUCUGGUUAUAACAGUGAGAUGCAUUAACUUCAAUCCUGUAUAUUUUAAUUUUCCAUAUGGCCUAUGGGUACUUGUUGAGCAACUACUAGUUUACUCAAUCUGACCCUUAACUUAUAAAUAUGUUUGAUAUUUUUAAUUCUCAUAUUCCUAACAUCUCUACAUAAAUUAUGGUUGCAGAAAAAUCACAUUUUUACAUCAGGUGCAUCAGGGACUAAUGCUGCCGUUAUCAGAGGUGCUUUAAGAGCAGAAAAACCUGAGUUGCUUACAGUAAUCUUACCUCAAAGUUUGAAAAAGCAACCACCUGAGAGCCAGGAGUUAUUGGCAAAAGUACAGAAUGUAAUAGAGAAGCCUUAUAAUGAUCAUCUACCACUCAUUGAAGCCAGUAGGUUUGUGCUAACAUUUUUAUUCUUUCUGGUAUGUAUAUAAUCUUCAGUUUUGUUGUCCCUACCGAUGUGAUUAGCCUGUCGAAAUAGAAAAUUGUCAUAAGUUUUCAGAGCCAGACUGAGCAUUUCCUCUUGAUCUUGGUAAAAUGCUGAAGUUGCUUGUGAAGCAUUGAAUGACUGAAAAUAACACUUUUAGAGUUUCUAUAUUAGACUAUUAAUAGAAGAAUAGCCAUGUUGUAUUCUCCUUACCUUCCUCUUUUUCACUGAACACCGCCAUUCUAGACUGUAUCUGCCACUAUAAUUUGUUUUUAUUAUAAGCCCCUUAAGAAUUUAAAGGAAAAAAAAGGCACCUGAGUAUGUGACUUCUUGGCUUGAGAUUGAAGCCUAGAGUUCUUUGGUGAAAAUUGUGGCAGUUGCUGUAUUAAUGUUAAUUCACAGAUUCAGGGAUUUGUCAAUCAAUACCGUAUAUUUCGCAAAACUUGAUGAAGCUUGCGAGUGAGUCUGAUUUUUAAUCAAUCUCAGUUGGAGCUGUUAAUGAGUGUGAGAUUAACUUAGUUUACUUUUCUAAAUUGGUUUAUUCAAAACACAUUGCAAAUAUCUAAGUAAAAAAUGCAAGCUGAUGCAAGUAGGAUAUUUUAAUUGAAGUGUAAAACAAAAUUGAUUCAACUGACUUAAAAACUCAUUCGAAAUGUAAGCUUUAGUUCCACUUGCAUACCAGGGAGUGAGAUUUGGUAUCAUGGUUACUAGCUGUAAGUCCAUCAAUCCAAACUCCCAACUGUUGAAUUUUGCAUUAGUGGGAAUUUAUGUAAGCUUUAGUUGCGGUAAAGUUCUUUAUCAUUCUUCAUGUAGUUCAACAAACCUGAACAUCCCUGAUGGUUUUUUCUUUUUCGACAAAUUUGCAGGCUGUGUAAUAUGGACAUCAUUUCACAUGUACAGCAAGUUAUUUGCUUUGCCUUCCAUGAUAGCAAGUUGCUCAUGGAAACUUGUCAAGAAGCGAAAAACCUCCGGAAAAUUGUGACUCUCUUUUACCUGGACUGAAGCAAUCAGUUUAUUUGUGUAUAUGAUGAUUAGAGAGAGAGGGACAAACAUAUUUUGCUUAUUCUUUUGUUUGUAAAUUAUAAGAUGAAUUGGGAUAAGUUGCUUUGCAUAGCAAAUUGUAACAGUGGUAAAGGGAGCCAAUUUGCUCCUCUUCAUUGGAAAGAUUAACAAAUAGGUUCUUAUUCACUAUUUUUAGCAGAAGAUCAGAGAAUGUGCAAAUCAAUUAUUCACAUUCAAUAAUGUCUUCAUGCAUAUGAUGCAUUUGACAAGUUUGAAUAUGUUUAUUUCAAGCAACACCUUAAGGGCCUCAUUGACAUUGUUGUUAGAGUUGUUGAGGAAAA
rnacentral:misc_RNA from 1 species